GCCCCCGGCCACGGCGCUCGGCGCUCGGCGGGCACUGCGGGCGGCGCGCACGGCGCAGGACGCGGCUCCCCUCCCCUUCGGCCGCUCCGCCCCCGCCCCCGCCCCGCCCUCCCGAAGACCGAGGGGGUUCUCCCCACUGGUGGGGUCGGACACGCGGGGCAGCUGCCCUCGGCCAUAAGACCAAGAGGCAGGGGCAUCUGGGGGUUAGGAUGGUCCAGGUCAGCUCGGUGGGAUCUGGGCGAGUCCCAGAAUCCCUCCAGGCCUCGGUUUCCUGCUCUGCACAGGGGGCCAAUUGAUCAGACCUACCUUGGACGGUGCCAGCAAGGGCCAAGUGACAAGGACCAAGUGAUGGCUGCAUAGACAGAACAGGGCACCCACACCAGACAGCUUCUGGAGAGUCCACUGGGGGAAGCCCUGCUGAGACCCGGGUCCGCUGUGGUCACAGCUGCGACCGACGCAGGAAGUACACGGCAGGGGCACCUGGGCGCAGCUGGGCAGCAGUGUGGGUCGUCAGGACGGUGGGAGCCAGGCCUACAGGUGGCAGCUGUGGGGGGCACAGGCCCUCCCUGAACAUCACUGCUGUGCUGUCUCUGGCCUCUGGGCGCCGGCCACACCUGCUGCCGGGCGGACACCUGCUGCUGUGGUCCUCGCGCUGACCACAGCCCCACGUCACAGAGGCCACCAGUUCAUGUGGCGGAACCGGUCGCGCACAUCUGCUCUCACGCCUGUAAGGACUCGCAUUUCUCACCUUCGGGAUGCUGCGCAGGGGGAAGCAGUAACAGCUCGUCCUCUAGCUGACCGCCACCUUGCAGGCACCCAGAGCAGGUCCUGGGAGACCAGACACCGUGCUGAAAUUAGCUGCGCUAACUGGGCUGCUGGUGAGACCAACGGGCUGGUUGCUGGCCUAGAAACGGCUGCCGCAGGCCCCACUGCCAGGCUCCUACCACGCGGGCGGGCGGGUGGGCAGUGUGGGCCGGGCCUCUGGGGGACGCGGCAGGCAUAGUGAGACUGCGGCAGGAAGUCAAAGACUGGUGCGUGUGGGGUGCCCUGAUCCCUUCUGGGUGGGACCCUGAAGAGGGCCCAGGGAGGAGGGGGGAGGAAACACCCCCACCAGACAGGGACCCGCCGUCUAGUGUUGUCCCCGAUACCACCGUGACCUGUGGGCUCUCUACUGGUAGAGGCCAGAGCUGGGGCUGGUCUCCAUCACUGGGCCACUGAUGCACAGGCAUGUUGGCAACUCUGGGCCAUGGGCACACUCGGGUCCUGAGACCAGGCUCCUCAGAGAGCAAGACACGGCUCUGGGCAGAUGGCCGGCCUGCACGUGGGCACCAUGAGGCCCGAGGCGAGACCGCCGAGUGCCAGUGUGCGGCUCUGCCUCAGACUUCUGGGGGGGUCAGACCCCCCCACAACCCUCCCAAGGCCACAGACACGUCCUAAGGGGGUGAGACCACAGGACAAGCGGUCAACGCUGCAGGGCCUGGGCUGGCGGGGGGAAGGCCUGUCAACGUUCUGUCCCAGGGGAGGGCAUGGGACCCAUGGGCUUACAACAGGCACGGCGACGGUGGCCCUGGCAGCCCCAUGGGGACAUGCCGACUUGUUUCCUGCCCCGGGGAUGACUGGCAGUGGUAAAUGCCAGGACUGGAAAGCCAGCACAGAGCCUCUGAUUUUACUCUGUUAAGCAGAGCUCACGGAACACCGGCCUGUACGUAACCUCUGCAAGCUCGGAAGCGACAGUCGUAAAUAACUUAGGCUCGCUCAGACUGUUCUGUGCAAACCUAUAAGACGCGGUUCCGGGGAAGCCACGGGCAGGAGGGUGGAUGUCAUCUGCAACACCUCUUGAGUCCGUCUCAGGGAAGCGGCUCAUUCUGGCAGCUCUGUGGCCAGGGAACCAAUGCCAGGCCCUCGUCUGCAGCUGACCCAAGUCCUCGAGGUGUCUUUCAGGGCAAAGCGAGAGACUAGUAAAGCAGUUUCUUUUCUUUUUUUAAAAUAUAUAUCUAUUUUAAGUUUAUUUAUUUACCUUGAGAGAGUGAGCUGGCAAGCAAGGAGGGGAGGGGCAGAGAGGGAGUGGGAGAGAGAAUCCCAAGUAGGCUCCACACUGGCAGCACAGAGCUGGGCGUAGGGUUCAAACUCAUAAACCAUGAGAUUGGGGCCUGAACCGAAACCAAAAGUCACAUGCUUAGCCCACUGAGCCACCCAGGCGCCCAACAGUAAAGCAGUUUCUGAAUGUCAAGCAAAGUUAGGGUAGUUGUCUAAAACAGACAAAUCUGCCGAGCUGCAGGUGAUCCCAUCUCGGGAAGGCCCGUGGAGGGGAGCCUGUGAUACAUGGUGGGUGCAGGGGAGGCCUGCCGUGUCACUGGCUCAGGCCGCCCACUGUCCCAUUUUGCACCGGCCCCACAGGCCCCCCUGGGUGUCAGAGCUGUCUCCCCUCCAGCGGACGCUUACUCUGAGACGAGGUCAAGUAACUUUGCCCGGUCACCUGUGGAGUGAAGGGGCAUCUCAGAGCUGGCCCAGCACCAUCCUCUCCGCCAGGGCCAGCAGCCAAGGCCAGACCCAGGGGACAAGUCCUUGGGAGAGGGUCCUGCCGUGCUGAGACCCCCUGCGUGUGGUUCACAUCACCUCAUCCCUGCUGAGAGAUGGAACGUGGGCAGGUGCCACCUACUGGCUCAGGCCUCCCGCUACCAGACAGGCUGGAGGGUGCCAGUGGCCUGGACUGUGGCCCCCAAGUGUGGGGACAGGCACAGCAGCUUGCAUACAGUGGGGCCUAGGUCUGCCACUUGUGCAGGCUCAGGAUACUUUGGCAUGCGGCUGGUUCUGGUCUGACUGCACCUACAGGCUGCGUGGGGUCACUGCUUGAUGAGGCUAGUGCCAUUUGGGGGGGGGUCCCACCCAGUGCAUCAUCAGCAAGUGUAUUGGUCUGCACCCCCAGACAUGCACCAUAAAGGGGGGGGGGGAUAUACGCAUUGGGCCACCGGGCCAUCUGGUGCGUAGGGGCACAGGCUGCUCUGAGGGCUGGCCGUGCUGCAGUGACUGCUGGCCUGACCCCAGUUCCAGGCAACAGGGGUGGUGGCACCACAGCAGCAGUGUGGAUGCAGGCACGCGGACAGGGCUGGGGCUGAAUGGAGGGCCCCUUGCGCUCUAUGCUUAGCAGCUGACACCCCCCACACAGCUCCUGAAGCAGGCACAGACCUCUGCCCCUGCACCGGGAGCCACCCCACGCGGUGACAGUGGCCCGAUGGCCAAGUCAACAAGGUGUGCCUCUGGUACUUGCGGUGCCAGGUGAUCGUGCCCACCACUGAAGGCGGUGUUAUGCCAGAGGCCUUUUAGAAACAGCUUCAGGGCCCAGUUCUUCCUCCCAGAGCAAAAGGAGGAGACACCUCAGGGGACGUCACUCUGCUCCCUCCCCCCGCAGGCCUCACCCCAAAGGCGAGGAUGUCUAGCAGCCAGGGCAGCUCCCCGAGCGGCAUGCGGACAGUGGCCUGGAGGCAGAGGACGCAGGUCUCCAAAGCCCAGCUGACAGACAGAUGGUGUCCAUGAAUACGUAGAGGGGGCAGUGAGGGCAAAGUGAGGCUGUGCACUGUGUGAGGGGUGCCCUACACAAACCGUCCACGCCGGAGAAGAGUCUGGGGUCAGAGAAGGCUGUCGUUGUGCCCCUGCAAGAUUCUCUGGCCACACGCACGGUAUGUGUCAAGGCCGCAACGCAUCAGGGAGCCAUUCAGAGAGAAGCCAGGCCCACGCAAUGGGGAUGGAGCCCACACAGGCUGUCUGCUGCCCUGGGGCCAUGUGGAGAGGGGGUGGUCACAGGUCGGGCCAGCCGGGCAGUUGCAUCUGAUGCUGUGCAGGCGGGUGUUCAGAAGGGUGUGGGUGGGGGGCAGCUCACAGGCAAGUCCCCACCAAAUGCGGAGGUGCAGGGUGGGCGCAGAAUCCCCAGGAGGGGAAGAGUCAGCACAGGCGCCUGGUGUUCUGGGACCAUCCAGGACGCCGUUACGCCGUCUAUCUGCAGCAAGUCGUGGCACCCAGGAAGCCGUCUGGUCCUCCUGAGGACUCCCAAGUGCAGGAACUGUGGCCGAAGCCCCACAAAGCUGCCUGGGGAGGAGACCUAAGACCCAGGGGUGGAUGUGAUGCUAGCCAUUUACCGGUCUCGUGACCACAGACACCCCUCAGCCACAGGCACACGGUGGAAGGCAGCGGGAGGCACAGCACUCGGGGCGACAGUGGCCGCCAGCCUCCCAGUGUCCUGGCACUGUCCUGAGUCAGUCACUUGUAGCACUACUUUAUGAACGUGCUCAGGGCCCUUAUUGCCUCUAGGACCCACCCAGCUCUCCAGCCUGGUAGAGGUACCUGUCACCUACUUUACAUCCAGGGUGAAACCACACAGAGAGCACAAGCAGAACCCCCAGGAUAACGCCAUCCUGGUGCAUCCUGGUGAUCAGCUACAAAACCCUAGUGGUUAUAAAAUAAACACUACCCUUAAUGGAAAAGGCCAACGGUUGCACCACAUACUGGAAGGUUUCACCAGGACGGAGUUCCUGAAGCUCACGUCCACGCCUGUCUCGCCAUCGCUGAUCCAGGACCAUGUCUUCGCUGGUCCCCGGGCGUCGGCAUCAAAGCCGGAGCAUCUCUGGGGAUCCAGCCAGGCGGCAAACCUGGUCCCUGCGAACAGUCACGCCGGCUCACCGACCAACGCCGCCCACGGUCCCCCAGAGGGGUCCGAACGGGCCGGGGCUGAGAGACCAGCUCUCCCUGGGAGCACUUGUUAGGAGCACAGCGUCCUCAGCCCCUCACCGCUUCCCCGCCUCCGAUCCUCCAGGCACAGAACCUGAGGGCAAACAGAUGUGCCCUGAGCACUUUCCCCAGGCCCGAGGCGGCUGCUCAUCUAAACCUCUACAAACAUAAAAACAAUUCUUCGCUCAGAGGCCGUACAAAACCCUGCUCUUUUGGGACGAAGAGAAGGGACGAAAGCUGGAGGCGGAAGGGGACGCCAAAUGUCUGUGGUCCUGCCUUCGCUGCGGAGGCUUCGCUGAGCGGCCCCGGCUGCCCAGAAUGGGGGUCUCGGUCUGUGUCCCCGCGGCCACCCAGGAUCUGCCCCGGAAGGCCGGCCGGGCCCCAUCCUCGCCGUGCGGGUGCGCCCUCCAGGCUCUCGGGGGACCGCCUGGCACGGGCUCGACUUCCCUGUAGCCUCCCGCCCCACCGAACCAAACCCGCCGGACACCAACUUUCCACCCGUCCGGGUACUUCCGCCUUGGGAGGUCGCUUCCUGUUAGGUGCCGGAAGGGGCGGGUCACCGGAGCGUGGGGGAGGAGUCUAGAGCUACGGCAUGCAAGACGCAAGCAACCUGGAGCCUGGCGGCGACGGCGGCGGCCUGGAGCCGAGGCCGGGCGAGGUAUCAGGGGUCCGACUUUUGGAUUUUUUCCCUGGAGCCGCGUUUCCAACGUGGAAUUCCUCGGCCGGAAGGGUUUUCCAGGCCUGUGUUAACCCUAACUCGGCCAGUGGAUGAGCGAGUUGGGCUGUGAAACCCCGUGUAAACCGGGGCGUUGUUAGAGACAGAAGACGGCGCCUGGCGAGGACUCCCCUCAGGUCUCCUCCCGUCUCUUCUCCAGCAUCUCCCCAUUCAGGUCCCUCCCUCGCCCGCCUCCGGUCUCCUCUCCAGCAUCUCAUCACUCAGGAUCCCCCCAGGUGCCCCCUCGGCGUGUCCCCACUCGGGUCCCCCCCCUCCCCAGGUCUCCUCUCCAGCGUCCCCGUUUUCAGCCCCCCCCCCCCCAUGUCUCCCUUCAGCAUCUCCUCAGGUCUCUCCCCCUUCCUCCCCCCCAGGACUCCUCACCAGCGUCUCCCCCUAGGUUCCUUGCCCUGGGUCACCACCCUCAGCCCUCCCCACCCCAUAUUGUCCCUUUGCAAAGCAGCGGAAGCUCUUCCAGGCUAAAGGAGUGUUGUAUACAUCUGAGCAGGCCACGUACUUACUGUUCAAAAGGAAUCUUCGGAAGGUCUGUUAGAGCUUGACAUCAGGGGCUUAGGUGUACAAAAGUCCCAGGCUGGAAAGAUGGGUGACAGUAGGCAAAGGUGGUCUUCCAGUGGGACUCGGUCCAAGGACUUCAGGCUAUGUCCCCAGUGGCGUCGUGGCUCUGGACCCUGAUGAGGGAAGGCGUGAUGGCAGGUUUGAAGGCGAGUGGGGAGGGGUGGCCUGGAGACAGACCGCAGCCCAGUUGAGGCACAGGAAGAGAGCUGUGACGUCUGGCAUUCCCGCGAAGCUUGGUGUCCCACGUCUGUUCUGGCCCCACCGCUGUCUGUGCCACAUUUGUGCUACUGGGUCGCUACGGGGUCGGUUGCUCAGGGUGGCCCUACCACUGCCCUAUCCUGCUGGGCCUCCGAGUUCCGGCCUUAAGACUACUUCUCAUCCCUUCCUGUUGGCCGUGUGCUCGUGCAUUCCCUCCUUGCCUCCCCGAGUCCUCUGGACCCGGGCCUGCGUGGGGUGUGGGGUGUGCAGGUGGGAACCUUGUCUAGCCGGUUGCAAACAAACCAGCGGCAGCACACUCUGCAGAACCCGGAGGACCCCCAGUAGAACCUUGGGCCAAGGUUCCGCGGGGCUGGACGUUGGGGGGAAGACCUUGUCAGGACAGAAUUUGAUUAUACAUCUAUCAGCACCCCAAAAAGGCACUAGUCAGGAUCUUUCCAUGACACCCAUUUAUCUUGGAAAACAGAAGCCCGGUGACUCUGCGCGUUGGAUGGAAUAAGGCACCAGGCGGCCGCAUCAUCCGUCAGCAGGCUGGGCCCUGUGCGCGCGCCCCUGUCCGGUCCUCGCCGCUAGGUGGCGCCGCAGGUGCGCGAGCUGCCCCUUUCACUCCUGCUGAGGCCCAGAUUAUUUGAGAUUCCUAGAAGUCACCGUCUCAAGAAACCCCGAGAAGGAUGGCAAGCACUGGCCCCUGGGGCGGGGGAGGCUCUUUGGCUUGCUGCUGAGACGCCUGGGGGCUGCUCCCAGAGAGACCAGUGGAGGAGCAAAGUGAUGGGGAUUGACGCCCAGCCUCCGGUGACUCGAUCAAUCGCGCUUCUAGAAUGCAGAAAAGCCCAUGGGUCGGGCUCCAGAGAAAAUACACACAAAGAAGAGAAGUGAAUUUGGAUCUCACCAGGCAGCUUUCGGGCUCCGGCUGCCUGGGCCAUGGCCAGUGGGAGCCUGUCCUGGGGGCGUCCUUCCUUGUUGUCCGGGACUCCGGUGUUGAGAUCCUCCGCCCGUCCCCUCUGUCCUGGUGCCUCUGGCAGACGCGGAUUUGAGAAAGUACACGCUUCCGUGGGUGCCUACAUCCACCACCGCUCCCACCAGAGCCAUGAGUUCGCUGAUGCCUCGGCUCCACCGCGUCCACAGGCUCGUUUGGGUUUUCCGUGUCGGAGCCUGUGGCUCCUGUCUCCACAGCGCGGAUCCCCCGUGCUGCUCAGAGCCCUGCUGCCACAAUGCCCGUGUGACUGCCAGUCCGGGGGCGGGGGCGGGGGGACCUCGUGCCCACCCUCUGUGGCUUUAGGGUUGCUCCUUCUGGGAAGGGCAGAGCGGUCUGCCCUGGCCUCCGCUCAGGGCCAGCAGGGAGGUGGAGGGGAGCCUGGUUCCACCACCAGCUCUGGGUAUGGUCGUGUCCACCCACAUCCCCUCGGGACGGGGGCUGAGACGCCGGCUGUCCCGUUGGAGCCAGGUCGCGGCUGUGAAGACGCAUGGGGCACCUGGUGAGCCCUUGUGGCUGGGGUGCUGCGUGUGUUCACGUCUAGGACCGCAGAAUGAGCGGCGUUCGCCUGGGCGUCGGCUUCCGCUCCUGCAGCUGCGUGAUGCCCACCCCGAGGCCGCCGGCCUGCACACCCGUGAGACCCUCGGGCUGACACGGCUACUCCUGCUCCGCUGUGCCGGCAGCCACUGCGGCCACUGGGACGCGUGCCGGUCACUGUCCUCUGCUCUCUGGUCACCACACGCCCCGUCCCCGGUGCUGUGAGUGGCGGACCCGCAUCUGUAGCUCUUCUGAGCUUCUGGUGCCUCCUGCGCGUUUCCUUCGUGGAGCCUCCUGCGUGUCCUGGCGACCGGUGGAAAUCAUGUUUGCACUGAACAAGCCAGAGGUGGUUUCUCGCUACAGCAGGAGGGACCCGUUCCACAUCCUGUGACAGGGACGGAGGAGGGGGUGUCCCUGGCCAAUGGAGGGCUCGUGGACGCUGGGCCCACUGUGGACUGAGGAAUUUCUGUUUGUCUUUAGGGUCUUAUUACCUUCCUGGGCUGCCCUAACGAAGCCACAGACUCAGGGCUCAAACCGCAGGCAUCCCUCUCAGCCUGCAGGCUGUAAGCCCUAAACUGAGGUGUCGCGGGGCCGUGCUGCCUUUGGGGGGGCACCCUGUGCAUCUUCCAGCCUCUGGUGGUGCCAGACAUACUCGCCGUCCCUUGGUUGGUGGAUGCGUCACCCCCUCUCUGCCUCCAGGGGCACACGGCGUUGCUCUCUUGUUGGGAUGGGACUCACCGACUCCAGCUGGUCACCGACUCCCUCUUACUGAUGGUGCCUGCAGUGGCCCUGUUUCCAACCCCAGGACGCCGUGGGGAUUGCACAGCAUCGGUGUGUCCGGAGCUGCUGGGCUCUUCUCAGUGGCUGUGUGAGAAGCCGUCGGGAGACUUUCAGGACGUAAUCACAAAGGCCGGAACGAGCAGAAGGCACCCUCACAGACCAAGCGUGAUCUGAGUUCCUGCCGGGGAGCACCUGGGCCCAGGACAUGGGAGUCGCCCAAACGUUCACGUGUUCCUGCGUUUGCUUUCUCCUUCUCACACCUGAAUCUGCAGAGUGGAAUAUGUCGGGCUGUGUUCCCCACACCAGGCUGUGCUGCCGCCGGGGCGGCCGUUCGUGUUGCUGCAACGAUACGUGGUCUCUAUUCUGCAGUCUGCAUUCACAGGUCUUCAGUUCUCUGUCCCGGGAAGGACUCCCACUUCUCCUGGGGGCCUUUCCGAGUACCUCACCUUCUUGCUUGCCAUCGUUGCCGGGGUCCCUCUGCCAUUCCAUCCUCCAACUGGUGACUUCGUGCAGCUAUGAGGACUUUUGGUUUUUGUGUGUUAGUUUUAGCCUUACUGAGUUCGUUUAUCCUUUGAGUCUGUUUCCUCCCUGUUGAUGGCCUGGUGUCACGCUCGCUGCCCGGUCGGGAGUCCCAUGUGGCUAAGCUCGUGUGUACAGAUGAGAUGAAAUGAGACCAAAGGCUCACGAUGCCGCCACAUUCGCCCCAUUUCCAGUGCUUGGCGGCCGCACGGGCUUGGCGGGUUUCCGACACUGAGCUUGUGGGACAUCCCUUCAUCGUGAAAAGUUUACUGCAUAUUACUGUUCCAGCGUUUUCCAGGUACAUCAGUGUAGCCUUUGCAAAUGGACACAGCUGGCUUUGGGCUCUGUUCUUGGGUCCCUGACGGGUUCCCCGUGUCUGACUGCAGCGGCUGAGGCCUCCAGGGCCGGGCUGGCGGGCGGUGAAGGCAAGCAUAGUCCUCAUCUUGCCCCUAAUGACACCAGCGUCUGCUUCAGUGAGGUGGAGACUUUAGAAAAGGCUAUGUUACUAUGUUAAGAAAGCGGCUGUCACUUCCUAUUUUCCUUACUGUUUGUACUUUUAUCAGGAAUGGGUGUUAAAUUUUGCCAGAGGCUUUUUGUGCACCUAUGGGGGGAAAGCAUGUGAUUUUUCUCUUCGGGUCUGUCAAGAGUGACUUUCACAAACGGAUUUCCCAGCAACCAGGCGGCCGUGGCAUCUGGGCGUCAGUCCCGCACGUGGUCACCAUGUCUGUCUUCCCACCCAUUGCACCUUCCAGUAGGGUCUGGGGGUCAGAGUUCCUGUUGCAGUGGGGCUCUGCCGGCUGGCCUUCCAGGAGGGGGCUGGGGUCAGCACUCCUGGGCGGGGGGGGGGGGGGCUCCACCGGCGGGCACAGUUUAGCGUGUGCCCCUCCGAUUCAGGGCGCCGGAACAACUGGGCAAGCUGUGACCAUCUGGUCCCUAGCCAUGCGGUGGAGUUCAUCUGUGGAGUCAUUAGGGCCCGUUUUUGUUGGGGGCUGCGGUUCGCUGGAGGCUUUUUUCUUCCGUGGAACCGGUGUGGUUAGGGUCCCGCCCCCCACUGUAGCCGCUUCAUCUGGAAAUUCGCAUUUAUUGCGCUCCGCAUGAAAUGUCACUACGGCAUAGUUAUUCUAUGUCAUUUAUUCCUAGCAGGGCCAGAACUCGAGCCUCCUCUGCCACCCGGCGCCCGGCGCUUCCUGGGCCCUUGCGGGUGGGCGAGAGGCAGACUCCGCCUGCAGUCUACACAGGCCGAGCCGAGCAACCGCGGCUCGAGAGGCACACGGGGUUCGCGGGGAGACCAGCUCGGCUCUGCUCGCUCUCCACUCGGCCUCGUGCCGGGCAGGGUGGCCUCGGGAACGCGGGUGGCCGCAGCGGAGCUUCCUGGGGAGGGGAGACGGCUGUGCCCAGGCACAGCCACAGGCCACUGCCACCGACAGCGCAUCUCUCGCGGCCGCACGGCGCUGCCUGCUGGAGGUUGUGCGCAGGCGCAGCUGCAGGCUCCCGCUGUUGGCUGCGAGUCUCCUCCGUUGCGCAGCCGCACUGUCCGCACGCCGCCGCCUGCUCGAGGCCGUGCGCAGGCGCAGCUGCAGGCCUUGCAGUUGGCCUCGAGUCUCCUCCGUCGCGCAGCCGCACUGUGCGCACGCUGCCGCCUGCUCCAGGCUGUGCGCAGGCGCAGCGUUGGCGGUCUGGCAGCAGGAGGCGUGGAGUCGGCUCAGAUGGCGCCUCCUUGGCUCCUGAGCAGAAGCCAGGGGCCCACGGUGGAAAUUCGCGGACUCUACGCUGCCGGGCGUCGGGCCGUCUCUCGGAGAAGAGGAGCGUGAGUAGGGGUCCGCCGGGAAGGGCAGCGUGUCCUAGAGCCCCGUGAGCGGGGAUGAGGCAGGUGGGGCGGCCGGGCGGGGCAGCUGGAGCCCU